rnacentral:rRNA from 1 species
CCUACGGGUGGCAGCAGUGGGGGAUAUUGCACAAUGGGGGGAACCCUGAUGCAGCGACGCCGCGUGGGUGAAGGAGUGCUUCGGCAUGUAAAGCCCUAUCGGCAGGGAAGAAGCAAGACGGUACCUGACUAAGAAGCCCCGGCUAACUACGUGCCAGCAGCCGCGGUAAUACGGAGGGGGCGAGCGUUAUCCGGAUUCACUGGGUGUAAAGUGAGCGUAGAAGGCCAUGCAAGCCAGGGGUGAAACCGCGGGGCCCAACCCCGGGAGUGAACUUGGCACUGUGCGGAUAGAGUGCGGGAGGGGCAGGCGGAAUUCCUGGUGUAGCGGGGAAAUGAGUAGAGAUCAGGAGGAACACCGGCGGCGAAGGCGGCCUGCUGGACUGCGACUGACGUUGAGGCUCGAAAGCGUGGGGAGCGAACAGGAUUAGAUACCCGUGUAGUC